AUUGAUUUCUUUUAUAUUUAUAUUUUAGUUUAAUCAUCAAUUGUAUAUUCUUAGUGAUGUGUUUUUAUUAUUUUUUAAUUAAAAACGUUCAGAAACUUAAAAAAAAAAUAACCAAAUUUUAAAAGAUGAAAUUUUUUUUAAACUAGUGUUCCAAUGCACUAGAAUCCAUUUAGUUGUUUGCUGUGUUAAAAUAUAUAAUUUUGAAGCCAACAUAUGCCAUGGAAUGCUAGGAUAAAUAUAAAUUCCAUUAUUUGUAAUAAUCCUGUCUAAUUGCUUUUUUUACUAAUGAAUUUUGUAAGUAGAUGCAUUCUACAUGUGCCAACAAUUAUAAUGUUUCAAUUAUAUUACAUGAUGAUAUUUAGUUGAUGUUUUGAUUACUUACCCAGUACUGUAGCAAUAGUAACUGUUGUAGAGACAAUUCAAAUUUAGACUCUUUCCAUUUCUUUUGUUCCAUUUUUACUUUUAAAUGUUUUUCAGGUACACAACCAUUUGUUUAAUUCUCAUGGUAAUAUUGUUUUCAUUUUAACAACCGUAACUUUCUAAGAGCCAAAUUGUUAAAUUUUAAUAAACCAUCAAAGUCCAUAUGCAUAUCAAGUAUGGGGUGUGAAACUGUCAUAUCUUCUCAUAAUUUCUAUCUCAGAUACAAUAUUAUCAUGCUCAAUCACAUGUGAACUUGGUCAGGAGCUACCCUGUCCCCUAAUGAAACCACAAAAACUCGAAGGAAUUUAUAGCAGACAGGGUAGCUCCUGAUGAGACUUGGUAUCCACUGGCUGGCCUGCAGCUGCACUGCACAUGGCACACGAAUAUUAGCAUGAUCCAAUUAGCUUGAAAUGAUUGUCAGUCAAUGUGCCGCUUGUGCCGCUGUCUAUGACAAAACUGUCAGAUUGCUUUGUGUCCAUUGUUUCUAGCUGCAGGUGGUGUUGCUGAUGAUGUGACUGUAGUGCAUGGUUUCUUAUAUCCAUGAUGGAUAUUAUAGUGACUCUAGUGUUUCUUUGUGUGUUUAUCCAACCCUAGUCUGAUUUAAAUCAGUCAGGUAGAGUGCUGGUUUGAGUAGUAUACUUUAAAUAGGAGUAGGUAGAGUGCUGGUUUGAGUAGUAUACUUUUAAUAGGAGCAGUUAGGUAGAGUGCUGGUUUGAGUAGUAUACUUUUAAUAGGAGCAGUUAGGUAGAGUGCUGGUUUGAGUAGUAUACUUUUAAUAGGAGCAGUUAGGUAGAGUGCUGGUUUGAGUAGUAUACUUUUAAUAGGAGCAGUUAGGUAGAGUGCUGGUUUGAGUAGUAUACUUUUAAUAGGAGCAGUUAGGUAGAGUGCUGGUUUGAGUAGUAUACUUUUAAUAGGAGCAGUUAGGUAGAGUGCUGGUUUGAGUAGUAUACUUUUAAUAGGAGCAGUUAGGCAGAGUUCUGGUUUGAGUAGUAUACUUUUAAUAGGAGCAGUUAGGCAGAGUGCUGGUUUGAGUAGUAUACUUUUAAUAGGAGCAGUUAGGCAGAGUGCUGGUUUGAGUAGUAUACUUUUAAUAGGAGCAGUUAGGUAGAGUGCUGGUUUGAGUAGUAUACUUUUAAUAGGAGCAGUUAGGUAGAGUGCUGGUUUGAGUAGUAUACUUUUAAUAGGAGCAGUUAGGUAGAGUGCUGGUUUGAGUAGUAUACUUUUAAUAGGAGCAGUUAGGUAGAGUGCUGGUUUGAGUAGUAUACUUUUAAUAGGAGCAGUUAGGUAGAGUGCUGGUUUGAGUAGUAUACUUUUAAUAGGAACAGUUAGGCAGAGUGCUGGUUUGAGUAGUAUACUUUUAAUAGGAGCAGAUAGGCAG